rnacentral:rRNA from 1 species
AUUGAACGCUGGCGGCAGGCCUAACACAUGCAAGUCGAACGGUAACAGGAAGAAGCUUGCUUCUUUGCUGACGAGUGGCGGACGGGUGAGUAAUGUCUGGGAAACUGCCUGAUGGAGGGGGAUAACUACUGGAAACGGUAGCUAAUACCGCAUAACGUCGCAAGACCAAAGAGGGGGACCUUCGGGCCUCUUGCCAUCGGAUGUGCCCAGAUGGGAUUCGCUAGUAGGUGGGGUAACGGCUCACCUAGUCGACGAUCCCUAGCUGGUCUGAGAGGAUGACCGGCCACACUGGAACUGAGACACGGUCCAGGCUCCUACGGGAGGCAGCAGUGGGGAAUAUUGCACAAUGGGCGCAAGCCUGAUGCAGCCAUGCCGCGUGUAUGAAGAAGGCCUUCGGGUUGUAAAGUACUUUCAGCGGGGAGGAAGGGAGUAAAGUUAAUACCUUUGCUCAUUGACGUUACCCGCAGAAGAAGCACCGGCUAACUCCGUG